rnacentral:lncRNA from 1 species
CCACCGUCUGGUCUCCAGAUCAGAUCAGAUCUGUCCAUUUACGUUUCCAGAUUCAAUCCCAUGUGUCCAAUGUUAUGGUGCGCUUCAGUUGACCAAGGCACAUGGUAGGCGCGCGCUUCAUGACCUCAUGAUCUGCCAGCUCAAUUAAUAAGCUCAGAUCAAACGGUCCACGCUUUUUUCCAAUUUCUAUUUUCUGUUUUUAUUUUCAUUUUAUUAUAUUAAUUCUAUUUCAUUUCUAAAAUUCAUAUCUAUCUCAUUAUUGGUCCAAAAAU